CCUACGGGAGGCAGUAGUGGGGAAUAUUGCGCAAUGGGCGAGAGCCUGACGCAGCGACGCCGCGUGAGGGAUGAAGGCCUUCGGAUCGUAAACCUCUGUCAGCAGGGAAGAACGGUCACUGUGCUAAUCAGCAGUGAAUUGACGGUACCUGCAAAGGAAGCACCGGCUAACUCCGUGCCAGCAGCCGCGGUAAUACGGAGGGUGUGAGCGUUAAUCGGAAUUACUGGGCGUAAAGCGCUCGUAGGCGGUAUGUCAAGUCAAGGGGGAAAUCCCCGCGCUCAACGUGGGAACUGCCUUUGAAACUGGCAAACUUGAGUGUGUGAGAGGAUAGUGGAAUUCGAGGUGUAGGGGUGAAAUCCGUAGAUAUCUGGAGGAACAUCAGUGGCGAAGGCGACUAUCUGGCACAUAACUGACGCUGAGGAGCGAAAGCGUGGGUAGCGAACAGGAUUAGAUACCCGAGUAGUC
rnacentral:rRNA from 1 species